AUUGAACGCUGGCGGAAUGCUUUACACAUGCAAGUCGAACGGUAGAGGGGGCAACCCCUCGAGAGUGGCGAACGGGUGAGUAAUAUAUCGGAACGUGCCCAGUCGUGGGGGAUAACGUAGCGAAAGUUACGCUAAUACCGCAUACGAUCUAAGGAUGAAAGCGGGGGAUCGCAAGACCUCGCGCGAUUGGAGCGGCCGAUAUCAGAUUAGGUAGUUGGUGGGGUAAAGGCUCACCAAGCCAACGAUCUGUAGCUGGUCUGAGAGGACGACCAGCCACACUGGAACUGAGACACUGUCCAGACGCCUACGGGAGGCAGCAGUGGGGAAUUUUGGACAAUGGACGCAAGUCUGAUCCAGCCAUUCCGCGUGCAGGAUGAAGGCCCUCGGGUUGUAAACUGCUUUUGUACGGAACGAAAAGGUCUCUCUUAAUACGGGGGACUCAUGACGGUACCGUAAGAAUAAGCACCGGCUAACUACGUGCCAGCAGCCGCAGUAA
rnacentral:rRNA from 1 species